UUUCUUACUGCAAAGCAGGCAAUUGGAUGCUUGCUCACUAAUGAUUCCUUUACUCACCAAUGUUGCCUUACUAGCUAAUCUAUCUCACACUAGCUACCAACAGAAGAUCUCGAUUUUAAAGGGGGCAAGAUCGGACCAUAUGAGUUUCAAAUGGGCGGCAUAGGUUGUAUUGGCAUGCAUAACUUAUUUGCAAAAAGAUUUAGCCGUGUAAUCCCC
rnacentral:lncRNA from 1 species